UUAGGAAUCUUGCGCAAUGGGCGAAAGCCUGACGCAGCGACGCCGCGUGACUGAUGAAGUCCUUCGGGAUGUAAAAGUACUUUUCUUGAGGGAAGAAGGAUGUGACGGUACCUCAGGAAUAAGCCCGGCUAACUACGUGCCAGCAGCCGCGGUAAUACGUAGGGGGCGAGCGUUGUCCGAAUUUACUGGGCGUAAAGGGCGCGUAGGCGGCGCGGUAAGUCACUUGUGAAAUCUCUGAGCUUAACUCAGAACGGCCAAGUGAUACUGCAGUGCUAGAGUGCAGAAGGGGCAAUCGGAAUUCUUGGUGUAGCGGUGAAAUGCGUAGAUAUCAAGAGGAACACCUGAGGUGAAGACGGGUUGCUGGGCUGACACUGACGCUGAGGCGCGAAAGCCAGGGGAGCAAACGGGAUUAGAUACCCCGGUAGUCCUGGCCCUAAACGAUGAAUACUUGGUGUCUGGAGUUUCAAGACUCCGGGUGCCGUCGCUAACG
rnacentral:rRNA from 1 species